UUAAGUUCAGCGGGUCCUCUCACUUCAUUUCAGAUCUGAUUUUGUAAAUUGGGUUUUAAUCCAAAGAACGGAUCAAGUUUUUGCUCCAUGACUCAGGGAAGGCCGUACCAGUGCACUCCGAGUUAGUUUGACGAUGGUGUGUGUCGCACGGAGGCGAACUUAACCACGUCACUCAGAUUGCUCCAGCCUCUCGCGGAAGC
rnacentral:misc_RNA from 1 species